GCCUCACUCUGCGGUGCGCGAGGGAGCUGAGCAGACAGCUCAGAGGAAGAGCUCCCUCGCCCGCCCAGCAUGUCUGUUAGCAGGCAUUUGGGGGCGGCUUUUUUUUGCUGCCCUAUGAAAAAUGCCGCCCAAGGCAAAUGCCUUGUUUGCCUUGCGGCUAAUACGCCCCUGUCCCUCAUAUUGCCACAAUGAGGUAGUGAUAUGAACCAGUCAGCCAGCUCUCUGUGCUGCCAAUUAAAGACAAAUACAGGGAGUGGGGAUUCAAUCUAUAAAAAGGGAGUGUUGUAAUAAUUAAAAGACAGAUUGAUUGCAGCAAGGAGUGACAAGUGUUAUAAAGACAGCAUAUGGCCAAACCACCAAGACAAG